CCCAUUUAAUUCUCAAACAAUUUUAUGAGGAAAGUACUGUGGUUUUUCUCACUUUUCAAAUGAGGUUUAGAGAUGUUCAAUAACUUGCUCACAUGGGAUGAUGCUUGCCGUGAUUUUAAUUUGGGGAUCUGCAAAUCCAGUGGUUAAGACUCUGCGUUUCCACUGCAGGAGACAUGGGUUCAGUCCCUGGUUGGGGAACUAAGAUCCUGCAAGCCUCACAGCACAGCCAAAAAAAACAAAACAAACAAAAAAACACAAUUAUACUCCAGCGAACUGAAUAAUCUUUAAAAUAAAUAAAUAAA